rnacentral:pre_miRNA from 1 species
CUUGUACUCCCUCCGUUCCAAAAUAGAUGACUCAAUUUUGUACUAAAGUUAGUACAAAGUUGAGUCAUCUAUUUUGGAACGGAGGGAGUAUUUA